rnacentral:lncRNA from 1 species
GAUGGAUACAAUACCUUUAUUUUAUUUUUAUGUUGUGCUGAGGAGCAAACCCAGUGCCUCACAUGUGCUCUACCACUGAACUACAACCCCAGUCUGCUGAGCCCACUUUUAAUGUCUUACAUGGGCCAUACAGCCAAAUCUAAGUUCUCAUGCUAGAGCUCCAGCUUUCAUGAUUUGGCCAUGUUGCUUUCCAGAAGGUGUCAGGAAGACUGGUUAUGCAAGUAAUACUUCCUGUUUACCCACUUUUAAUUAAUGGCUGAGGAUGAUGAAUUGUGACCACAAAGUAUCCUAAUGUCAUUUACUUGAAAUGUUUUACCCUUGUGCCAAACAAUUGGAACAGUCUUGUUUGUACACAACAAGUUAAACCCAGCAAAAUUCUCAUCAGCUACAUCUCUCAACUACUUUCAUAGCUGAAGAUGAUUAUUCUGAAUGUAAAAGGUCAAGAGUCUGAAGUUAUCCAAAGCUGAUUCUUGCCAUAAGAACUGAGUAGUGAGGUUCUUUUCGCCAUCCUUGGGUAAUCUCAUCCAUUCUUAUGGUUUCUUUCCCCUUUUGUGUUGAAAAGUCCCAGAUCUGCUUCUCCACCUAACAUCAUACUCCUGAACUCCAAUGUCUCAUAUUCAGCUGCCUACUAGACAUCUCCAGAUGCAUUAUCAUGAAGACUCCCCAAAUACAGCAUGUCCACAAUGCCCAACCUGUUCUUUCUGCAAUACUAUUUCCCCUAAAUUUGCC